rnacentral:lncRNA from 1 species
UGGGUCUUGGGGAGGAGGAGGUGCUUGUGGAGGUGGAGGGAGGAGGUGUAGGCCAUAGAACGCCGGGCGGCGGUGAGGGGGGCGGUGGAUUUGGGGUUGACACGGUUGAUCUCUGGAGCAAGAAGAAGAGGAGGAGGAAGAAGCUAGCUAACCAAGUGCGGUGGGGGGGAAGAUUGCUGACUUUUUAUAAACACACGGCAGCUCAGCGGCCGGAGGAUGGUCGGCAGCGGUUUGGUCUCGCUGCUUUACAAUUGGCCAUGAAUCAUGCUGUGCUGCUGAACCUUGAGCAUGUACGGAAGUUUAUUCUGAGAAACA